UGCGGGGGCUGCGCUGGCUCUGGAGGCUCUCGUGGGUCCUGCUGAUCUGCUACAAGAGCUGCUGGGACAGUGCCUUCCAGGUCACAGAGGAGCUCAGAACAUCGCUGCAGCUGAGACUGGAGGGGAGCGAGGAGGAGGAGGAGGAGAAUGGGAGCUCCGA